rnacentral:rRNA from 1 species
UACGUAGGGGGCGAGCGUUGUCCGAAGUUACUGGGCGUAAAGCGCGCGUAGGCGGGGGAUUAAGUGAGAAGUGAAAGGCUGGGGCUCAACUCCAUGCAGUGCUUCUCAUACUGGUCCUCUUGAGGCGGUAGGGAGAAGUGGAAUGGCUGGUGUAGCGGUGAAAUGCGUAGAUAUCAGUCGGAACACCGGUGGCGAAGGCGGCUUCU